GUAUCUCUGAGAUCUUUGAGAUCUAGGCCAUGUCUUCCCCUCUGUCUUCACAGAUGAUUGCAGGGGAGACAACAGUUACCUAGUGCUCUGUAAGCACUUAGCGACAGCUGGUUUUUGAGUUCUUAGGAAACCCACUAUGUUAGAAAAUUCUAGAAUAAUGGAAAGAUAAGAAUGAGACUUCUCUCUAUCAUAAGUCUGGAGGUACACAGCUCAGACCUGGUGUUGUGGCUUCACAGUCUCAGGAACAGGCUGGAGCCAAGUAGACCCGAUCUGUCCUCUGUCACACUUCACCUUCACACCUGCAGGAAGGAAAGGCCACUUCAUCUUGCCCAACUAUGGUGAGAUAGGAGAUAAGUACAGAUGGGCUGUAUCUUCAAUCUCAGUUCCAACAUCAGCUUUGAUGUUACAACAGUGAUCAUCAAUGGCCCCUCAAAUAUGUUUUGGCCUUGAUUACAAGGGCAGCAUUUUACACAUGCUUAAGUGUAUUCAUUUCUAAAAUGUGAAAAUGUUUAUUUUGAGACAGGGUCUCAUUGAGUUGCUGAGGGUCCCAAACUUGGAAUUAUCUUGCCUCAGCCCCCUGAGUUGCUGGGAAUACAGGCAUGUGCCCAGCUGGGAGUUUACUUCUUUUUGAUGAAACGGCAUAGAAUUUGGCCGGCAGGCAGCGUAGGCAGCUAAUUGUAUGUUGCAAGAUUGUCAGGGGCCCAGAUUUCUUCUAUCUUGAUCUUCUAUAUGUAGACUUUAGUAGGAUGUUUUUGGCCUGCACGUGUCAGAAAACUCAACUCUAAAUGAUUCACCUAGCAAGAUGAUUUGUUAUUUAAUCUUGAGUAAUUUCUAGAUAGGUGACAGCGUUGGCUAACUUUAUGACCCAGAAACGCUAUCAAGGAACAGGUUUCUGGGGCUGGGGAUGUGGCUCAAGUGGUAGCGCGCUCGCCUGGCAUGCGUGCGGCCGGGGUUCAAUCCUCAGCACUACAUACAAACAAAGAUGUUGUGUCUGCCGAAAACUAAAAUAAAUAAAUAAAUAAAAAUUC
rnacentral:lncRNA from 1 species